GGAUUGUGGCUCAGUGGUAGAGUGAUUGCCUUGCCUGUAUGAGGCCCUGGGUUUGAUCCUCAGUACCA
rnacentral:tRNA from 1 species